rnacentral:rRNA from 1 species
UACGGGGGGAGCAAGCGUUGUUCGGAUUUACUGGGCGUAAAGGGCGCGUAGGCGGCGCAAUAAGUCACUUGUGAAAUCUCCGGGCUUAACCCGGAGCGGCCAAGUGAUACUGUCGUGCUAGAGUGCGGGAGGGGCUACUGGAAUUCUCGGUGUAGCGGUGAAAUGCGUAGAUAUCGAGAGGAACACCUGCGGCGAAGGCGGGUAGCUGGGCCGACACUGACGCUGAUGCGCGAAAGCCAGGGGAGCGAACGGG